UUAGUCGGGACCUAAGCCGAGGCCGACAGGCGUAGGCGAUGGAUAACAGGUUGAUAUUCCUGUACCCGUUGUUUUUGUUUGAGCAAUGGAGGGACGCAGGAGGCUAAGGAAUGCAGACGAUCGGAAAUGUCUGUCCAAGCAGUAAGUCUGAAGAGGAGUCAAAUGCUUCUUUUCUUAAGGACAAGCUGUGAUGGGGAGGGAAAUAAUAGUACCGAAGUUCCUGAUGUCACACUGCCGAGAAAAGCUUCUAGUGAGAAAACAGCGGCCCGUACCGCAAACCGACACAGGUAGUCGAGGAGAGAAUCCUAAGGUGAGCGAGAGAACUCUCGUUAAGGAACUCGGCAAAAUGACCCCGUAACUUCGGGAGAAGGGGUGCUGAUCAUACGAUCAGCCGCAGUGAAUAGGCCCAAGCG
rnacentral:rRNA from 1 species